ACUGGGGGCAUAGGCAGGAUGGAUGCCACCCCCAUUUUCUGAUUAGGGCGAGUACUUGGGAGAGGUCCCUUAAGUACCCGUUCCUGGAACCAAGCAGGGAGGUCUAAAGGCUUUCUUCAAGCAGCUCGCGAUAGAGCAAGAGGUGUAAAAAGGGGCUGGGAAGGGAGGGAAGUCGCUGAAGCUUUUUGUCGAGGUGGAUGCACCACAUGCUGGGAGCCGCAGCUGCGCGUUCUUGUCGGCGUCGGAAAAACAGCCUGGCUUUGAAGUGCAAGUCCCAAAUCUGGCCAGGGCUGGGUUUUGAAUAAUUUCUUUUUUACUUGGAGGGAAACUUUUUUUCCGUUGCAAAAAAGUACUUGCAUUCAUUUAAAAAAAACAAACCGAGAAAGGAGGCCAGCGGCGUUCUCUCCUCCCCACGUUUAAAUUUGGAGAGUUCUUUCUUUCUGCAAACUUUAUUCGGCGCCCUAGUCACUGCAAUACCCGCGAGAAGAUUUGCUUAUCUUGUCCAAAGUGUACCUUGAAGUGCCAAAAACAUGUGAUAUACGUGCAAAGGAAGGAUAGAGUGCAGCAGUUUUCAACUGUGUGUUUAAUACUGAGUGUAUUUCUAACACUGUAUAAAAUGAAGGCAUUUCUACUUUUAACUAUAACAAGGAUGCCAAACAGUGCAACUUUACAUGCCAACUAAAUUUUCUCUCCACCGCUCAGACAAUGGCCAAACAGAUGUUUGAGAGAGUCCACAAGCAAUGCAGGCUGGAUAUGGUGAUCUCCUGCUGUGUAUUUCUGGCAUUUGGGAGUCAGAAAUGUACUAGUUCUGAACAGAUGUGGCAGCAUCCAGAAUAAA